rnacentral:rRNA from 1 species
AACGAACGCUGGCGGCGUGGAUAAGACAUGCAAGUCGAACGGGAUUACUUCGAGUAGCAAUACCUGAAGUAAUUUAGUGGCGAACGGGUGCGUAACACGUGGGGAAUCUGCCGAGAAGUGGGGGAUAGCUCGUCGAAAGGCGAAUUAAUACCGCAUAUGAUCAGGGAAGACAUCUUUCCAACAUCAAAGCCGGGGCAACCUGGCGCUUCUUGAUCGACCCCGCGGCCUAUCAGCUAGUUGGUGAGGUAACGGCCCACCAAGGCGAUGACGGGUAGCUGGUCUGAGAGGACGAUCAGUCACACUGGAACUGAGACACGGUCCAGACACCUACGGGUGGCAGCAGUCGAG